rnacentral:rRNA from 1 species
UAUUGCACAAUGGGGGAAACCCUGAUGCAGCGACGCCGCGUGAGUGAAGAAGUAUUUCGGUANGUAAAGCUCUAUCAGCAGGGAANNACNNNUNACCAUAGGGUCAGCAGACGGUACUUGACUAAGAAGCNNNGNCNAACUACGUGCCAGCAGCCGCGGUAAUACGUAGGGGGCAAGCGUUAUCCGGAUUUACUGGGUGUAAAGGGAGCGUAGACGGCAGCGCAAGUCUGAAGUGAAAUGCCAGGGCUUAACCCUGGAACUGCUUUGGAAACUGUGCAGCUAGAGUGCAGGAGAGGUAAGUGGAAUUUCUAGUGUAGCGGUGGAAUGCGUAGAUAUUAGGAGGAACACCAGUGGCGAAGGCGGCUUACUGGACUGUAACUGACGUUGAGGCUCGAAAGCGUGGGGAGCAAACAGG